GAGGGUGUAGCUCAGUGGUAGAGCAUGUGCUUAGCAUGCACGAGGUCCUGGGUUCAAUCCCCAGUGCCCCUG
rnacentral:tRNA from 1 species